rnacentral:rRNA from 1 species
GUGGGAAUCUGCCUUGUGGUUCAGGACAACAUUGGGAAACCGAUGCUAAUACUGGAUAAGCCCUUACGGGGAAAGUUUUAAUGCCAUAAGAUGAGCCCGCAUUUGAUUAGUUAGUUGGUGAGGUAAUGGCUCACCAAGACAAUGAUCAAUAGCUGAUCUGAGAGGAUGAUCAGCCACACUGGGACUGAGACACGGCCCAGACUCCUACGGGAGGCAGCAGUGGGGAAUCUUGCACAAUGGAGGAAACUCUGAUGCAGCGAUGCCGCGUGAGUGAAGAAGGCCUUUGGGUUGUAAAGCUCUUUUGUAGGGGAAGAUAAUGACUGUACCCUAAGAAUAAGGUCCGGCUAACUUCGUGCCAGCAGCCGCGGUAAUACGAAGGGACCUAGCGUAGUUCGGAAUUACUGGGCGUAAAGCGCGCGUAGGCCGUUGAGUUAGUUAAUUGUGAAAUCCCAAAGCUUAACUUUGGAACUGCAAUUAAAACUGCUCGACUAGAGUUUGAUAGAGGAAAGCGGAAUACAUAGUGUAGAGGUGAAAUUCGUAGAUAUUAUGU